CAGAAAUUUUACUCUUAAAUUGUCCUCUGUAUUGCAGUGACAGAAAGCCUGGAAUCUACCUUUCUUAGACUCACUUACUAGCAGUUACUGGUUUAGGUUUUGCCAGUGAGAAACUCGUGUGUGAGACUUGGAAGGUGAACAAGAAGAAGAAGCCAUUGAUCUUCAGUGGGAGCUGCAGGCAGCUAUAUGGGCAUUGGAGAUGGCAGGCCCUCCCUACACAGAAAAAAAGAUGGCAAUCAGCAGCUCAAACUCAGAUCCUACUAUGAUGGCAAUGGCAUAAAGAUUGAGCUUUGCUCCUAAUCACUUUUAAGAAGGUCUAAGUAAGACUUCAAGUGACUUAGCUGUGUCCCAUAUGCAGCCUUCAGUCAUUUGCUGUAACUGGCUGAACAGAAUACUCUGACUAGGCCUGACUCACGAGUCUCCCCAGGAAGCACAGAGAGCAGGUAUCCACUUCCCUGCAACUGCAUAGCCUGAAUGGCACUGCUUCCACCGAAUCUCAACCCUGUGAACUAAAUUGCAUGGUGUCCACUUCACCCCAGCCACAAAGACUGAAUACCUUUAUGUCCACCUUACUCCAACCAUAUGGACGGAACAGGAAUCUUAUGAGGUGAACACAUGUUAAGUACUGUCAGUAGAGGAUGCAGGAGAGACAUUGAGAGAGGAUGAAGGAUUCUUCUAAUUCUGUACACCUGCCAAAGUCUCACCUCAGCUGCCUGCCUAGAAAGGCUGCUUCCCAUGACCCUCUCUACCUGAAGACCACAUGUUCUAAUUCUCAUGCAAAAGCCCCAUCCUCACUCCCUCUUUAUACAUUCACUUAUGAACUGUGGCUCUCUGCCACCUCAUUUCCUGCUUGCCCAGCGACCAUGGACCAGCUCUGAUCUGAGUGUCCUAGGAAACUUCUCUGGAGGUUGCAACUACACCUUCUCCAACAAGACCUG